GAUGAACGCUGGCGGCGUGCCUAAUACAUGCAAGUCGAGCGAACAGACCAGGAGUUUGCUCCUCUGACUUUAGCGGCGGACGGGUGAGUAACACGUGGAUAACCUACCUAUAAGACUGGGAUAAUAUCGGGAAACCGGAGCUAAUAGCGGAAAAUCUAUUGCACUGCAUGGGUCAAUAGUGAAAGACGGUUUUUGUGUCACUUAUAGACUGACCCGAGCGGCAUUCACUAGUUGGUAAGGUAACGGCUUAACAAGGCAACGAUGCGUAACCCACCUGAAAGGGACGUCCGCCACCCUGGAACUGAGACACAUUCCAGACACCUACGCGAGGAAGCAGUAGGGAAUCCUACGCGAUGGAGGAGAGCCGGACGGAGCAACGUCGCGUGAAUGCUGAAGGACUUAUGAUCGUAGAACUCUGUUAUUAGUGAAAAACAAAUGUGUAAGUAACUAUGCAGGUCUUGACGGUACCUAAUCAGAAAGCCACGGCUAACUACGUG
rnacentral:rRNA from 1 species